GUCACUUCCGAGGCCGGAGACAAAAUGGCGUCCGCCUGGUGCCGGAGCCUGGGGCUGCUCCGGGCCACUUAGACCCGGGCCGGCCGCAGGGGCAGGCGGCGGCGGCGGCGGCGGCGCAGGGCUCAUGUAAUCACAGGAGUUUCUUUGUUGUGUGUAUCUUUUCAGAACACAACAGGAAUUCAAAAUGAAUCAGUGUGAAUCAGAUGUAAGAUAUUGCUGCUGGCACCACUUACAAGAAAACCUCUCCAGGAGACCCAUAGUCCAAGUGGGCACAAUACCACCAGUCCCGUGGCUUUCUCAGAACACAACUGAAUCUGUAGGAGCAGCUGAGACCUUGGCUGAUGUACCUGAACAUGUGUUUAAAGGACUUCCUGAGGAAGUGAGGCUUUUCCCAUCUGCUGUUGACAAGACACGGCUUGGUGUCUGGGCAACAAAGUCAAUUUUAAAAGGCAAAAAAUUCGGACCAUUUGUUGGUGACAAGAAAAAAAGAUCCCAAGUUAAGAGCAAUGUAUACAUGUGGGAGGUAUAUUAUCCAAACUUGGGAUGGAUGUGUGUUGAUGCAACUGAUCCAAGGAAAGGAAAUUGGCUGCGAUAUGUGAACUGGGCUCUUUCAGGAAAGGAGCAAAAUCUAUUCCCUUUGGAGAUCAACAGGACCAUUUACUACAAAACCUUAAAGCCAAUUGAGCCCGGCGAAGAGCUGUUAGUCUGGUACAAUGGGGAAGACCACCCGGAGAUAGCCGCCGCUAUCGAGGAAGAGCGAGCCAGCCACCGGGGCAGGAAGAACUCUCCGAAAGCCAAGAAAGGGAAGAAAAAGGAGUGUAAAAACAAGGGAAGGAAGGCAAUAGAUACAAAGCGGAGAAAGACUGAUUUGGAUUUUACUUCCACAGAUAUGAGGGAGUCUAAAGAAGACUAUAAAGAGGAAGAUGAAAAGCCAUCUGUUUCUGCUGUGCUGUCACUGGAACAAACAGCUGUGAUUCAGGAGAUGGUAAAUCAAGAUGUUCUUCCAAAACUAAUGAUCCCAAGUCCUACCAGUGAGCCACGAACAAUGCCUGAAGACAAACCAGGAGCAAUAAGUUGUGGAUCAGAUGAUUUGGAGGAGGAGGAGGAGGAGGAAGAAGAGGAGGAGGAGGAGGAGGAGGAAGAGGAAGAUGAAGAGGAGGUGGAAGAUGCUAAUUUACCUGAAGAAAGUCCUGGAAAAGAGCCUACAGCUGUGUGUGAAGAAAAGCUAGACUCUAUGGAGGAACAAAAAAGCAUAUCGGAAGAAUCUCCAGAGAACUCCCCGAAGAAAACACCUGUUCUAAAAAUUCCUCAAGCAAAAGAUGUAUCUAAUGGUGACCUCCCGGAAACAUUUAUGUUUCCCUGUCAGCAUUGUGAGAGGAAGUUUACAACAAAGCAAGGACUUGAACGCCACAUGCAUAUUCAUAUAUCUAGUGUCAAUCAUGCUUUCAAAUGCCGAUACUGUGGGAAAGCCUUUGGCACUCAAAUUAACCGGCGAAGGCAUGAACGGCGUCAUGAAGCAGGGCCAAAAAGGAAACCAUUCUUAACACUAACUUCGGCCCCGCAGUCUGAUGAUGUUGCUGAUGGACAGACAUUUGCAGAUGAUGGUCUUAAAGAUGAAGUCAACGUUUGCAAACUUGUGCAAGACUUCACAGUCUUGGAUUCUGAGAAGGUCUCCCAAGAAAUGUCAAAUUCUACCUUUGUUGAGGAGAACAAGGAACCCAAAGAAUUGCAUCCUUGCAAAUAUUGUAAAAAGGUUUUUGGAACUCAUACUAACAUGCGUAGGCACCAGCGUAGGGUUCAUGAGCGUCAUCUUAUUCCCAAAGGUGUCAGGAGAAAAGGAUUCAUUCUUGAAGAACCGCAACUUCAAACCGAGCAGGCCCAACCAGCCCAGAACGUGUAUAUAGCAAGUACAGAAUUAGAAGAGGAUGGUGAAGCAGAUGACAUAUAUAUUAUGGAUAUUUCUAGCAAUAUCUCAGAAAAUUUAAAUUACUAUAUUGAUGGUAAAAUUCAGUCCAACAGUAGCACUAGCAAUUGUGAUGUGAUUGAGAUGGAAUCCAAUUCUGCAGACCUGUAUGGAAUAAAUUGUUUACUUAGUCCAGUCACAGUGGAAAUUUCUCAAAAUUUAAAGUCUACACAAACACACACGACUGAUCUUCCUAAGGAGCCUUCUAGCGGUGGAAGCAAUGAAUCCAAAAAGAGGAGAACUGCCAGCCCUCCUCUUUUACCUAAAAUAAAAACUGAAAUAGAUCCAGAACCUGUAACUCCUUCGUGUUCAUUAAAUCUUCCUCUUAGCAUUUCAACAGCUGAGAGCUUAUCUUUUCAUAAAGAAAAAAGUGUUUAUUUGUCGUCCAAGUUAAAACAACUUCUUCAGACACAAGAUAGUAAUAAGAUAACUCCAUCAGCAGCAGCAACUGAAAUCCCUAAAUUAGGUCCUUCUGCUACAUCUUCACCCAUUUUGCCUUCAGUAUCUAGUAGGUUUAAAAGGAGAACCAGCUCUCCUCCUAGUUCUCCACAGCACAGUCCAGCACUUCGAGACUUCAGCAAACAAGGUGAUGGAAAAACCAUGUGGAAUGAUACAGUUCUAGGUUCAAAGAUGCCAAAAUUAGAAAGUCACAGCAACUCACCUGCAUGGAGCUUAUGUGGGAGGGAGGAAAGACAGACUAUGAGUCCUCUGUGCUUUGAAGACUAUAAAAUAUCUAAGGAAUGGACAACUCCUCCAACUUUUGGUAGUGUGUGCAACCAGCAGCCAUUGGAUUUAUCUAGUGGUGUAAAACAAAGGUCUGAUGUCAAAAGCAAGACUCAGGUUCCUUGGGAAUUAGUGUUGGAUCUAAGUGUGAAUAAGAAGCCAUAUAGCGACACUGAAGUUAAGGAAUACAAAGAAAAUAAUUCAGUGCAGCCAACGUGUAGUGGUAUUAAAAAGAAGAAACCAACCACAUGCAUGUUACAAAAAGUUCUGCUGAAUGAAUAUAACGGAACGGAUGAAGCUACUGAAAGCACACCAGAUUUGACUUUGAAUAGAAGCCCAAGUCCAUGUAAAUCAGCAGUACCCCAGCCAGAAACUGAUGUUGAUCGUGGUCUGUCAGCACCUACUGUUGAGUCCCCUUCUCAUAGUUCCUCUGCUUCCCCUUUGCCUCAAACAUCUGCUGUAUCCUCCUCAUGUCAGUUGCCCCCUCUUCUAACGCCAACAAAUCCUUCCUCCCCACCACCCUGUCCUCCUCUGUUAACACUUGCUAUGCCACCCCCCCCACUCCUUCCUACUAUUCCUUUACCACUUCCAGAUGCCUCUGCCAGUGUCACUCCCACUCCUUUGUGCCCAUCACCACUCUGUAACACUGCUACACAGUCCCCACUUCCAAUCCUUUCACCUACAGUAUCUCCUUCUCCAUCCCCUGUUCCUUCUGUUGAACUUUUUACUACUGCUUCACCUGGUCCUCCAAACCUCUCCUCCUCCUCCUCCUCUUCCUCCUCCUCCUCGUCGUCGUCGUCCUCAUCUUCCUCUUCUUUCUCCUCUUCUUCAUCGUCGUCCUCCUGUUCCUCUUCCUCUUCCUCAUCCUCAUCUCCUUCUCCUCCUCCUCUUUCAGUAGUUUCUUCAGUUGUUUCCCCUGCUGAUAAUCUGGAAAGUACUCUCCCCAUAAUAGCUUUUAAACAGGAGGAAAUGGAAAGUGAGCACCUGAAGCCAAGAGACGAUCCAGAGACUUCAAGUGAAGCAGAUGUAGUUCAGGAAACGUUCAAUAAAAGCUUUGUGUGCAAUGUCUGUGAAUCGCCUUUUCUUUCUAUUAAAGACCUAACUAAGCAUUUAUCUGUUCAUGCUGAAGAAUGGCCCUUCAAAUGUGAAUUCUGCGUACAGCUAUUUAGAGAAAAAACUGACUUGUCAGAACAUCGCUUUUUGCUUCAUGGAGUAGGAAAUAUCUUUGUAUGCUCAGUCUGUAAAAAGGAAUUUGCCUUUUUGUGCAAUUUGCAACAACAUCAGCGAGAUCUCCAUCCAGACAAAGAAUGCACACAUCAUGAGUUUGAAAGUGGGACUCUAAGACCCCAGAAUUUUACAGAUCCCAGUAAGGCAAAUGUAGAACAUAUGCAAAGCCUACCAGAAGUUUCCUUAGAACCCUCAAAAGAAGAGGAGGAGGAGGAGGAGGAUCUAAAUGACUCCUCUGAAGAGCUUUAUACUACCAUAAAAAUAAUGGCUUCUGGAGUAAAGUCAAAAGAUCCAGAUGUUCGUUUGGGCCUCAAUCAACACUAUCCGAGCUUUAAACCACCUCCAUUUCAGUAUCACCACCGAAAUCCUAUGGGUAUUGGAGCCACUGCUACAAAUUUCACUACCCAUAAUAUUCCACAGACCUUUACUACUGCCAUUCGUUGUACAAAAUGUGGGAAAAGCGUUGAUAACAUGCCUGAAUUACACAAACACAUCUUGGCAUGUGCCUCUGCCAGUGACAAAAAGAGAUACACGCCCAAAAAAAAUCCAGUACCACUGAAGCAGACUGUGCAGCCUAAAAAUGGCAUGGUCAUUAUAGCUGGCACUGGAAAAAAUGCCUUCAGACGAAUGGGACAACCUAAAAGACUUAAUUUCAAUGUUGAGAUUAGUAAAAUGUCUUCUAAUAAGCUAAAACUAAGUGCAUUGAAGAAGAAAAAUCAGCUUGUCCAGAAAGCCAUCUUGCAAAAAAAGAAAUCUGCACAGCAGAAGGCAGACUUGAAAAAUAGUGUAUCGGAGUCAGACUCUCACAUCUGCCCCUACUGUAAUAGAGAAUUCACUUACAUUGGAAGUUUGAACAAACAUGCAUCUUACAGCUGUCCCAAAAAACCCAUCUCCCCUUCCUCUAAAAAAAAUGCAUCCAAAAAAAGUGGGAGCUUUUCAUCAUCCGCAAGUGGCGAUAAAGGCAAUAGCCAGCGCAGACGAACGGCAGAUGCGGAGAUCAAAAUGCAGAGUAUGCAGGCUCACUUGGGCAAGACGAGAGCACGAACCUCAGGACCUGUGCAGAUUCAGCUGCCUACUGCAUCCUUCAAAUCAAAGCAAAACGUAAAAUUUAUACCUCCAAUUAGAUCCAAAAAGCCAAGUCCCUCUUCAGUGUUAAGGAACUCCAGCCCUGUAAGAGUGGCCAAAAUGACUUACAUCGAGGGGAAAAAAACUAAAGUGGUGGCCAAGAAUAAUUCUGGAAUCUCAAGCAAAACAUCCCGGAAACUGCAUGUCAGAAUACAAAGGAAUAAAGCUGUUUUGCCAAGUAAGUCUGCCGUGGCAAACAAGAAAAAGGCAGAUAGGUUCAGUGUAAAAUCUAGAGAGAGGGUUGGAGGACCUAUCACUCGGAGCUUACAGCAGGCAGCUAAUGCAGACACAAUAGAAAACAAGAGAGAAGAGAGCAGUACAAAACAAGAACUAAAAGACUUCAGUUACAGACUCCGCACGGCCUCUAGAUGUCCCCCCUCCUCUUCUCAGAACACCAGCACCAGGCAAUGCAAGAGAUCCAACCUCACGACAGCCCACUUCUUCAAGGAAUAGACUCUUCUGCACAUCAAAGCAGAGAGCGAGUCAUGAACUAUGGAGGCCGGUGAAAGGAUGAUUCUGUAGCAUCCCGGGCAACGUGAAGUCCACUCAUCCAGAGCCAGUGGAACAGCAUGGGAAAAUAUUCAGAGAGAAUUGUAGAUUGUUUGACCACAUUGGGAGGGCAGGUAGAUUUGGGCAAUUCUUUUCGUGCUGUUGGAACGUAGAGGGGUUGGACAUGUUAUGCAAUUACAUUUUCAAAAGACUGUUACAUCAUUUUAUCUUCUAACUGUACUGUACACUUUAUAGAACUGGGCAACCCACUGAAAAUCCACCCAGUGUGGAGCGUUUGCUGAGGUGUUCAUAUCCCAAAUCUGGGGGUACCCCAAUCUGAGUGUAUAUCAUGACCUUUAAGAUGUUGCAACAUUGUAGUGAUGCCACUACUUUUAGAAGAUGGUAGGACCCACAUCUCCUGGAAACUCACCUGUUAAGUGGUCUCUGAAAUGCAGUGAUGGUGCCAGUCCAGUUUUCUAAUGGGACAAGCGUUCAUUUUGCAAAAACUUAUGUUACAUUUGGCACUAGCUCGUCAUCCAUUCAUUGCUGCCAUGAUUGAGUUUUACAAGCAUUCCUAAAAUGCCCAUCACAGUGCAUGGUACCAAGCAACAUCUUCCCACAAAUAGGGAGGUUAGUAGUUGUGACCCUCCAUUAGAGCCAAUCUAGUUUGGUUAGGCUUAGAGAGGAAGGAGCCAUGAUGAUUGACCACAGCCUGUAAAGACGAAGUUUCAGGGUGUUGCAGUUAGUGAGAAGGCUGAACAAAGAGAUGUAUUCUCUCUUGCUCAUAAAGGGCCUCGUUCACGCAGGUCUAUCAUAUGGCAGAGGUGACCUCUUCUUGCUUCCACAAACUUUACCUUUGUAGCUGCUUAAUGAAUUUGGAUGUCCAAUACCCAUUAAAAAUUAAUGUAAACCACAUAUCCAAAGGCACUGGGCAGCUUUGAAAAUCUCAGCACACAGAUAAAACAAUUUAUGGGUCUUAGAUAUGUCUAGGAGCUUGCCCCAUUGUAUCUAAUCUCCAAGUUAGUCAUUUAGCUUCAUCUAAAGGUCUCCACAUUAGCCUCUGCUGUACUAGAUGCAGCAAAUUCUCUAUUAUUUCAUUUACCUGUCCUUGUUUCUUCUUUUUUCAUGAUCCAGAAUUUGUAUGGCAACACCUGCACUUUAGAAAACAGAUGAUCUUCCUGUAUGUUUUGACAGCACCUAACACUGUAGCAACAAAUUAGAGAAAAAUUCCAACCAAUAACCUGUGUUUUCAAGCACCACUUUGAGGUAUCCCUAAAGUUUCCAGUGCAAUGUUGUUAGACAAUGAGCAUGUUUACUAAGUGAUGUAUUUUCACUUGUCACUCAGGGGCUCUUGCUUAAGAGAUGCCUCACGUUGCAGCCUGAACUAUACCUAAAAUAGCCCACUCUUUUGAGACCUCUCUCAGUAUCUAGGAGUGGGCAAGGUGUGUUUAAAAAUGGAGAUUCUGGCUUGGAUUCUGCUGGGCUUAGUGCCUUUAAGGCAGACCUGUGACCUUACUAAAGCUGAAUUUUGGGCAGUUUACUUUUCUUUGGGUUUUUUUUAGAAUGAUAUUAAUGAUACUGUUCAAGAAACUCAAGGAGAGAAAUGUGUAAAUGCUGUGAUAUAUGAAUACUUUUCCCAGAGCAGUUUUGGUUUAUCAUGCAAACCUGUAAAUAUGUAUUUACAAUUUUAAAAGCACGUCUUUGCGUCCCUAUUGUAAAUGCUCCAUUUUUAAAGUUUUGUAUCUUGUUACUCCACUAAAGAUUGCAGCACCCAGUUUGACCUUGCAUCAGUCCACAUUAAAAAUCCAUUACGGUCUGAGCCGUGGUAGAAAAAUAUCCACACCAUCAACAAGAAAUGUCCCAUUAUUGCAGUAAACUUUUCACUGUUUUCCCCUCAGACAACAAAAGAAGAUUCUUUGGAGGCAGGGAGUCCAUCUUUGCACAACAAUUGAUUCAAACUCAUAGCAUUUCUAUAUGAUGAUGGGGACAUUUUCACCUCUGCAUAUUCAGGAAAAUUCACCAUUGUUUUCCAGGGCAGAAUUUCAAUUUUGCAACAACCCUCCACCAUGCCUGCUGGUGAAACUUGUGAAAUUUUGCCUUUGACCUCCUGCCCCCAAAAUCACAAAUUCUCAUGAAAAUUCAAGGGGGGGGAGACCCAGGUUUUGCAUGUAGAAAUUUGCAAGGCUGACACUGGUAGCUCUGCAGCACUCUCAUGACACUUGUUUUUAAAAUAAAAAAUUCAGUAUAAACAAUGUGAAGACAUGGUGUUACCUGGUGGGGCUUGAGUUCUGAACAUUGCUCUGGAAAACUGAAGACUCUGUCUGCCAUGUAAAGAAAAAACAAUAAACUAAUGUGACAAACUGCCGCAUGGGAACGGUUA